CCCUUGCCCCUGCAGGUUGUCAGUGAUGGUGUACCCCUGGUGCUAGCCCUGGUCCCCCACCGGCAGCCCCACUCCUUCAUCACCCAGGGUUCCCCAGACCUGUUGGUAAGUGCAUUGUGCAGAGCCCCAGCUCAGCUCCACUCCCCCUUGCCUCUGCCAGAAACCCACCUCUGCCCCCUCCUGCCUGCAGGUGACUGUGAGUGCCAGUGGGCUGCUGGGCACCCACAGCUGGUUGCCCUAUGACCGCAACAUAAGCAACUACUUCAGCUUCAGCAAAGACCCCACCAUGGGCAGCCACAAAUGUAGUAACCUGCCUUGCACUGGACACCUGUGGCAUCUACCUCAUCUCAGGCUCCCGGGACACCACGUGCAUGGUGUGGCGGCUCCUGCAUCAGGGUGGUCUGUCAGUAGGCCUGGCACCAAAGCCUGUGCAGGUCCUGUAUGGGCAUGGGGCUGCAGUGAGCUGUGUGGCCAUCAGCACUGAACUUGACAUGGCUGUGUCUGGAUCUGAGGAUGGAACUGUGAUCAUACACACCGUACGCCGCGGCCAGUUUGUGGCGGCACUACGGCCUCUGGGUGCCACAUUCCCUGGACCUAUUUUCCACCUGGCAUUGGGGUCCGAAGGCCAGAUUGUGGUACAGAGCUCAGCGUGGGAACGUCCUGGGGCCCAGGUAUGGGGAAGGGGUGCCCAGCAAAGAUGGAGGGGCAGUUGGGAUCCUGUCCUUGCUGACACUCCCUGCUUCCUCCAGGUCACCUACUCCUUGCACCUGUAUUCAGUCAAUGGGAAGUUGCGGGCUUCACUGCCCCUGGCAGAGCAGCCUACAGCCCUGACGGUGACAGAGGACUUUGUGUUGCUGGGCACCGCCCAGUGCGCCCUGCACAUCCUCCAACUAAACACACUGCUCCCGGCCGCGCCUCCCUUGCCCAUGAAGGUGGCCAUCCGCAGCGUGGCCGUGACCAAGGAGCGCAGCCACGUGCUGGUGGGCCUGGAGGAUGGCAAGCUCAUCGUGGUGGUCGCGGGGCAGCCCUCUGAGGUG
rnacentral:sRNA from 1 species